rnacentral:rRNA from 1 species
UACGGAGGGGGCGAGCGUUAUUCGGAAUUAUUGGGCGUAAAGGGCGCGUAGGCGGCUGUACAAGUCAAAGGUGAAAUCCCCCGGCUCAACUGAGGAACUGCCUUUGAAACUGUACGGCUUGAGGCCGGGAGGGGGUAGCGGAAUUCCCAGUGUAGUGGUGAAAUGCGCAGAUAUCAGGAAGAACACCCGUGGCUAAGGCGGCUCUCUAGUACGUGACUGACGCUGAGACGCGAAAGCGUGGGGAGCGAACAGG